rnacentral:rRNA from 1 species
UACGGAGGGUGCAAGCGUUGUCCGGAAUCACUGGGCGUAAAGGGCGCGUAGGCGGCUCAUGAAGGCUGUGGUGAAAGUCCGGGGCUCAACCUCGGAUCGGCCGUGGCGACUCGUGGGCUGGAGCACUGUAGAGGCGGGUGGAAUUCCGGGUGUAGCGGUGGAAUGCGUAGAGAUCCGGAAGAACACCAGUGGCGAAGGCGGCCCGCUGGGCAGUGGCUGACGCUGAGGCGCGACAGCGUGGAGAGCAAACAGG